rnacentral:rRNA from 1 species
CGGGUGAGUAACACGUGGAUAACCUACCUAUAAGACUGGGAUAACUUCGGGAAACCGGAGCUAAUACCGGAUAAUAUAUUGAACCGCAUGGUUCAAUAGUGAAAGACGGUUUUGCUGUCACUUAUAGAUGGAUCCGCGCUGCAUUAGCUAGUUGGUAAGGUAACGGCUUACCAAGGCAACGAUGCGUAGCCGACCUGAGAGGGUGAUCGGCCACACUGGAACUGAGACACGGUCCAGACUCCUACGGGAGGGCAGCAGCU